rnacentral:rRNA from 1 species
AGUGAACGCUGGCGGCGUGCCUAAUACAUGCAAGUCGAACGGAGUGGCGCAAGGGUGAGUAAUAUAUAGCUAAUCUGCCCCUUGCUGGAGGGCACCAGAUGGAACUGACACCUACUACUCCAUAGCAAGGGAUGAGACUAUAUCGUAUAAGCUAGUCGGUGGGGUAACGGCCUACGGAGGCUAUGACGCGUAACUGGUCUGAGAGGAUGCGCAGUCACAUUGGAAGUGAGACGCUGUCCAAACUCCUACGGGAGGGAGCAGUAGGGGAUAGUGCGCAAUGGGGGAAACCCUGACGGAGCAACGGCGCGUGGAGGAGGACACUUUGCAGAGAGUAAACGCCUUUUGUUAGGUAAGCGGUACCUAACGAAUAAGCAACGGCUAACUCCGUGCCAGCAGCCGCGGUAAUUC